GGUUAAGCGACUAAGCGUACACGGUGGAUGCCCUGGCAGUCAGAGGCGAUGAAGGACGUGCUAAUCUGCGAAAAGCGUCGGUAAGGUGAUAUGAACCGUUAUAGCCGGCGAUGUCCGAAUGGGGAAACCCAGUGCAAUUCGUUGCACUAUCGUUAACUGAAUACAUAGGUUAACGAGGCGAACCGGGGGAACUGAAACAUCUAAGUACCCCGAGGAAAAGAAAUCAACCGAGAUUCCCCCAGUAGCGGCGAGCGAACGGGGAGCAGCCCAGAGUCUGAAUCAGCUUGUGUGUUAGUGGAACGGUCUGGAAAGUCCGACGGUACAGGGUGAUAGUCCCGUACACCAAAAUGCACAGGCUGUGAACUCGAAGAGUAGGGCGGGACACGUGGUAUCCUGUCUGAAUAUGGGGGGACCAUCCUCCAAGGCUAAAUACUCCUGACUGACCGAUAGUGAACCAGUACCGUGAGGGAAAGGCGAAAAGAACCCCGGCGAGGGGAGUGAAAAAGAACCUGAAACCGUGUACGUACAAGCAGUGGGAGCACCUUCGGGUGUGACUGCGUACCUUUUGUAUAAUGGGUCAGCGACUUAUAUUCUGUAGCAAGGUUAACCGUAUAGGGGAGCCGCAGGGAAACCGAGUCUUAACUGGGCGUUAAGUUGCAGGGUAUAGACCCGAAACCCGGUGAUCUAGCCAUGGGCAGGUUGAAGGUUGGGUAACACUAACUGGAGGACCGAACCGACUAAUGUUGAAAAAUUAGCGGAUGACUUGUGGCUGGGGGUGAAAGGCCAAUCAAACCGGGAGAUAGCUGGUUCUCCCCGAAAGCUAUUUAGGUAGCGCCUCGUGAAUUCAUCUUCGGGGGUAGAGCACUGUUUCGGCUAGGGGGUCAUCCCGACUUACCAACCCGAUGCAAACUACGAAUACCGAAGAAUGUUAUCACGGGAGACACACGGCGGGUGCUAACGUCCGUCGUGAAGAGGGAAACAACCCAGACCGCCAGCUAAGGUCCCAAAGUCAUGGUUAAGUGGGAAACGAUGUGGGAAGGCACAGACAGCCAGGAUGUUGGCUUAGAAGCAGCCAUCAUUUAAAGAAAGCGUAAUAGCUCACUGGUCGAGUCGGCCUGCGCGGAAGAUGUAACGGGGCUAAACCAUGCACCGAAGCUGCGGCAGCGACACUAUGUGUUGUUGGGUAGGGGAGCGUUCUGUAAGCCUGCGAAGGUGUGCUGUGAGGCAUGCUGGAGGUAUCAGAAGUGCGAAUGCUGACAUAAGUAACGAUAAAGCGGGUGAAAAGCCCGCUCGCCGGAAGACCAAGGGUUCCUGUCCAACGUUAAUCGGGGCAGGGUGAGUCGACCCCUAAGGCGAGGCCGAAAGGCGUAGUCGAUGGGAAACAGGUUAAUAUUCCUGUACUUGGUGUUACUGCGAAGGGGGGACGGAGAAGGCUAUGUUAGCCGGGCGACGGUUGUCCCGGUUUAAGCAUGUAGGCUGGUUAUCCAGGCAAAUCCGGAUAAUCAAGGCUGAGGUGUGAUGACGAGGCACUACGGUGCUGAAGUAACAAAUGCCCUGCUUCCAGGAAAAGCCUCUAAGCAUCAGGUAACAUCAAAUCGUACCCCAAACCGACACAGGUGGUCAGGUAGAGAAUACCAAGGCGCUUGAGAGAACUCGGGUGAAGGAACUAGGCAAAAUGGUGCCGUAACUUCGGGAGAAGGCACGCUGGUGUGUAGGUGAAGUCCCUGCGGAUGGAGCUGAGACCAGUCGAAGAUACCAGCUGGCUGCAACUGUUUAUUAAAAACACAGCACUGUGCAAACACGAAAGUGGACGUAUACGGUGUGACGCCUGCCCGGUGCCGGAAGGUUAAUUGAUGGGGUUAUCCGUAAGGAGAAGCUCUUGAUCGAAGCCCCGGUAAACGGCGGCCGUAACUAUAACGGUCCUAAGGUAGCGAAAUUCCUUGUCGGGUAAGUUCCGACCUGCACGAAUGGCGUAAUGAUGGCCAGGCUGUCUCCACCCGAGACUCAGUGAAAUUGAACUCGCUGUGAAGAUGCAGUGUACCCGCGGCAAGACGGAAAGACCCCGUGAACCUUUACUAUAGCUUGACACUGAACAUUGAGCCUUGAUGUGUAGGAUAGGUGGGAGGCUUUGAAGCGUGGACGCCAGUCUGCGUGGAGCCAACCUUGAAAUACCACCCUUUAAUGUUUGAUGUUCUAACGUUGGCCCCUGACCGGGGUUGCGGACAGUGUCUGGUGGGUAGUUUGACUGGGGCGGUCUCCUCCCAAAGCGUAACGGAGGAGCACGAAGGUUAGCUAAUCCUGGUCGGACAUCAGGAGGUUAGUGCAAUGGCAUAAGCUAGCUUGACUGCGAGCGUGACGGCGCGAGCAGGUGCGAAAGCAGGUCAUAGUGAUCCGGUGGUUCUGAAUGGAAGGGCCAUCGCUCAACGGAUAAAAGGUACUCCGGGGAUAACAGGCUGAUACCGCCCAAGAGUUCAUAUCGACGGCGGUGUUUGGCACCUCGAUGUCGGCUCAUCACAUCCUGGGGCUGAAGUAGGUCCCAAGGGUAUGGCUGUUCGCCAUUUAAAGUGGUACGCGAGCUGGGUUUAGAACGUCGUGAGACAGUUCGGUCCCUAUCUGCCGUGGGCGCUGGAGAAUUGAGGGGGGCUGCUCCUAGUACGAGAGGACCGGAGUGGACGCAUCACUGGUGUUCGGGUUGUCAUGCCAAUGGCACUGCCCGGUAGCUAAAUGCGGAAGAGAUAAGUGCUGAAAGCAUCUAAGCACGAAACUUGCCCCGAGAUGAGUUCUCCCUGAGACUUUAAGUCUCCUGAAGGAACGUUAAAGACGAUGACGUUGAUAGGCCGGGUGUGUAAGCGCAGCGAUGCGUUGAGCUAACCGGUACUAAUGAACCGUGAGGCUUAACCUU
rnacentral:rRNA from 1 species